CAAUUCCUACGGGGGGCAGCAGUGGGGAAUAUUGCGCAAUGGGCGAAAGCCUGACGCAGCGACGCCGCGUGAGGGAUGGAGGUCUUCGGAUCGUAAACCUCUGUCAGCAGGGAAGAACGGUCACUGUGCUAAUCAGCAGUGAAUUGACGGUACCUGCAAAGGAAGCACCGGCUAACUCCGUGCCAGCAGCCGCGGUAAUACGGAGGGUGCGAGCGUUAAUCGGAAUUACUGGGCGUAAAGCGCUCAUAGGCGGUAUGUCAAGUCAAGGGUGAAAUCCCCGCGCUCAACGGGGGAACGGCCUUUGG
rnacentral:rRNA from 1 species